GUCAAUGUGGCAGAGGUACAUGCAAAAGUUCUAAGAUCUUUUUACGGGCGCAAAGUCCCAUUGAUU
rnacentral:tRNA from 1 species